rnacentral:snoRNA from 1 species
AACCCAUGGUGAGGGCACAUUCUCAGUAAGUCCUUGAAUCUCUCUCAUGCAUCGUAAAGUGUUUCUAAAUCCAUCUACACAAAAGAAGAGAUAUCAUUAAGCAAUUU